UCAGGCCCGUGGAGUGUUGCUUCCCCUUUUCAAGGCUAAUUGAGAAGGUCUGACUCAAAUCUGGGUUCCAAUUCACAUGGUCCCAUGAGCACCAGGCUACCCUGCCCUACUCUGAAUCCCUGUCUCCAGGCCCCUUCUUUGCUGUGACUGCACCUGUGAAGCAGGACUCUGCUGACUCCUAUCCUUAUCUAGCACCUGUGACUUUGGCCUGUCUGUUGGCACCUGUGCCAUCAGUAGCCAAGGAUGAUGAAUGUUGCUUGGGUCUCUACUCCUCUGGCUUCCUCCAAACCAGUGGAUCUGUGGAGAGAUGGCAAUGUGGCUGAUGACCACACCUACAGCACUUGCUCCCUUCUGGACAGUCAUUCUCCUGAGAGAGGCUAAGGAUGGAGGUUAAAAACGCUCACAAGUAGACUUGGCCGGUCAGCCUCUCAUUCAAAGCCCUAAGGAGCUCACUUUGGAGAGACUCAAACGUGGACUGAGAAAUUGCAUAUGGCUGCCAGGUUGGAAGAAACAGAGUUUUCUUUCAAGGCUCGACUUCCUCACCUGACAGCAUGUGGCCUUUUAUGCACCUCAAAGACAGAGUCCCAGGCCCAUCAUGCGGGCAGUUUUGCAGGCUAGUUAUCUGAAGAAGCUGAAGCAAUUCUGAGAUCAUAAACUCAAGACCUGGCUUGGUGAAGGCCUCCGGGGAAUCCAUGCCCCGCUUGUAGGAUGAAUCCUGGGAAAUACCUUUCAUCUUGGCCUCCAAC
rnacentral:lncRNA from 1 species